AUGAAUGAACUCAGGAAAAGCAUCUGGAGAAACACAGUUCAAAGUUUUCUAAAAGGAGACCAACCAAGUCAUUUGUCCGAGGAAGCCACACAAUUUGAAGAUGAUUGUGGUAGUGCUAAUGACAAAGAGGCAAGUCAAAAAACAUCAAUUCUCCAACAAAUGGACAAUCUAUCCUUUGAACCUAUGAGUUUACACUAUUACAAAGUGCAAAAGGAAAGCUUUAAAACCAAGGGGAACCCAGGAAGAAAAAUAGAUAAAAUAUGGCCAAGCUGGGAUCAGAUACUCAUCAUUGAGGGACCCGUACAGAGUUCCUACGGCUCUUCAAGGCACGGUUUUAAGACCAUUGUCUUAAAGUAGUAGAGAGAGAAAAAUGAUGCAGCAGCAACCUUUUGAGACUCAAAACUGACAGUGAGUGGCAAAGAGUGGGAAAUUUAAAGAACCUUGAGAGACUUUCUACCUAAACUGAGAAUAUUCUUCUUAAACUAUAAAGUACACAUCCACAUCACAUACAUACAAGUUCUUUUGAUUGUCUUCUCUUCACACACUUCUCAGGAAUUUUUCAAAUUAUACUUCAAACAUAGGCUGUUGUUGUUUUCUGUUGGAGGUAAAAGAUUUUGUGUAAGUUUUAGCAAUUCUGAUUUUCACUUAGCUCCUAUAGAAAAUAUCCCAUUCAGCUUCACUAAAAUUUUCCAAAACAAGUCUGUCUUCCUUGUUACAUUUCAUCUGUGUUUUCCAUUGAAGGAAGAAUUGAUCCAAACUGUGAGAUUUUCGGUAGACCAUACUUAUACAGCACCAACAUGGAGGUAUAUCUUCCUUUUCUUUUCAUUCUCCAGAAAGAGAUAUCUUGAGAGUCUUGAGAUCUGCACUUAUAAAUCUACUGAAGGAGGCCAUUUAGUAAAGCCUGAAAUCUCUGGUGACCCUCAUGUUUUUUUCCUAAGUAACAAAUAAGGAUUUAAGCGAUAUUCUUAAUCACCAGAGAGCUAGUAAGCCAGAAUCCAUUGGGAGAAGUUCAGUGCUCAGGGUGUUGUAUUCUAUUUCAAAAGAUAACUAACACUCACAAAGCUGAGUUGGAGUUCAUCACACUGGAAAGCUGUUUUCCUAUCUUCCCUACAAAUGUACCACCACUUAACAGUACAUGAGAUAUUCUACUACAGAGGGGAGAGGAGAGGGAAAGGGCUGGAACUGCAAGAUUCCCAUGAAAAUCUGAGAAGUGACUAUGUAAAAUCAUGAAAUAUCUGUCUGGAUUCCUUCAGCCUACUGAGAUCACCCUGCUCCGUAAUAUUUAAAUUAAAAUUCCC
rnacentral:lncRNA from 12 species